rnacentral:lncRNA from 1 species
GAUCCGGUGGCCAUGCCCGCCGUGCCGGGAGGUGCUGCGGGAUCUGUGCCGCUGUGUGCCUCCCUCCCUCUCUCCUUCCCUCCCUGCCCCCAUCAGAGAGGCCUUGCCAGGCCGAGUCUCCGUCGGCUGGUUGAGACUUGAUUCAGAGUAGUUUCUGUAAGUCCAUCAGGGCUGUGAACGCGGUGGGAACGCUGGCACGCAUCAUCUCUUCAGUGUGUUAAUAGCAGCUGUUGUUUUUAAUUUUAUUUUGCGCUGUUCUGGUUCCUGUUUCUUGCAGAGACUCUCGAGACAAGCUGGGACAGCAGCAUUUCUGUUGGCAGGAUGCUGUGUGCAUGCACACGGUGUGUGCCCGACAGGCAGGGUCACAGUCACUGAGUCUUCUGUGACCAGCGUGAGAUGUGGAGCCUCUUUGAGGAGAAUUUCUUGCAGCAGUUGACUCUUGUGGCUGGGAUUUUUCAUCUGUGAGGAGUGUCUUUCCAGUGUCUCCCUUUUCUGUAGCAAGUAAAAGUGUCAAGAAGACUGUUGGCCAUUACAGCAUUGUGUGUGGAAAGCAUUUUUGUGACAGAGCAGAGAAUGCACGUCACCAUUUUGCAAAGGAGCCAGUAAUCCUGAGUGAGGCUUUCAUUGCCUGCUGAUCUCAAGUGGGGAAUUUGUGCUUUUCCACUGCCUGCUGGGCUGCCCAGAAGAGACUGAGAGCAGAGACUCUCUGCUUCUCCUUUUAAAUUCUUGCCACAACCAACAAGGUCUGAAGAGGUUUAUUUGAGACACUAAUUGUGGAUCUUGUAUUCCUCUUUUGCCCAAAUCUGAUAACUUUAUCAAAAUGAUGCAAAGCUGUACACUUGAGAAGGGGUAAAAAGGCCAUCCCCAAGGUUCACAAAUGACAGUAGCAGUCAGAGAGGAUUUUUUUUGCUUCAACAUAUACAUAUUUUUUGUUUCGACUGUGUCUGGUGCAUAGAUGUAACUGUCUCCCUUUGCAUUUUGGGCUCUGCUGCUGAGGAAGAAAAAUACACUGUAAGUGCAGAUGAACCACCAGAAAUUAAAAAGCCUACCAGUGCUGGAUUUUAUCAAGACAGUAUCUCGGUGUGUUGCAUGUGCUGGCUGGCUGGAGGUCCCAUCCCUGGCAAACAGAUGGUGUAUGGUGAGCUUUUAAGUAGCCAGUUGCAAGGCUGGAGGUGACCAGGCUGCAGGAUGCUG